AAAUAUUGAAAAAUUCCCAUAUAUAUAUAUAAAAGUUACGACGAAUUUUAGAUGCUAUCUAAAAUUUUAUACUGAGGCUUGAUUUCAGGCUUGAUUGAGGGAUGAGGAGCUGAACCGAAUGAUGGGCUUGGAGCCACUGGCACAGUGUCAUUAUCGUUUCUGCAUGCCGCAAUCGCCGUAAAUACCAGUCCGACAAACAUGUGAAUUGAUGACAAGGGCAUGCAAGACCUUAGAUACACUCUUAUACCUAAAAAAUAUUAGAAAGCAUAAGAAUCAAUUGGAAAAACUAAGUAAAAUAUUAAAGUAAAAAUGCAAAAUAAAGAAACUACAUUAAAUCGCAUUAGAGUGGACGAAACUAAACACUAAUAUGAAUGCUCAAGCAAAUAUUGAUCAAAAAUACUCUUACAAACAAAAUGAGUUCACGAUAAAGAAAAACAACCGAUAGAUCUACUCUUUGUAUAAAAAACUAAACGAUUAUAUAAGAAAGAAAUAUAAAAGAUGUAUUAAGAUGCGUUUUCCUCACCAUGGAAAUCAAAGAAAAGCUUCAAAGCUUCUCUUUUGAUGAGGUUCAUGCAUCCAAGUUUAUAGAUUUCUAAGCUUUAUAACAAAAACUAGACAAAAACCAAACUUUUUAAGCUAAGGAAGUCUAAAAGUUGCGUUUCUUCACUAUAGGCUCACAAGAAAACUAAAAUAAAACUUUAAAAAAUCGACUCUUUUAACUAAAUAGAACUUCUGAAAAAUAAUCAAAGUGAACGAAACGUGCUACGAAAAUAUAUAUACAGUAGCCUAGAUUUCUAAGUUUUCAUAGCACAUUGUUUUUUAAGAGAGGUUUAUACAAAGAGUAGAUCUAGCUUUCAAGCCUCAGUAGAACCGAAUACAUUAAAUCGCAUUAGAGUGAACGAAACUAAACACUAAUAUGAAUGCUCAAGCAAAUAUUGAUCAAAAAUACUCUUACAAACAAAAGGAGUUCUCGAUAAAAAAAACAACCGAUAGAUCUUUUCUUUGUAUAAACCUCUCUUAAAAAAAAAACGAUUUAUAAAACUCAACGAUAGAUCUACUCUUGUAUAAACCUCUCUUAAAAAAAAACGAUUUAUAAAACUCAACGAUAGAUAUACUCUUUGUAUAAAAAACUAAAUGAUUGUAUAAGAAACAAAUAUAAAAAAUGUAUUAAAAUGCGUUUUCCUCACCAUGGAAAUCAAAGAAAAGCUUCAAAGCUUCUCUUUUGAUGAGGUUCACGCAUCCAAAUUUAUAGAUUUCUAAGCUUUAUGACAAAAACUAGACAAAAACCAAAUUUUUUAAGCUAAGGAAGUCUAAAAGCUGCGUUUCUUCACCAUAGGCUCACAAGAAAACUAAAACAAAACUUAAAAAAAAAUCGACUCUUUUAACUAAAUAGAAAUUCUUAAAUAUAAUCAAAUAUCAUACCAUAUUACCAUUCUACUUUUUGUGGAGAAACACGAAUGAGAGGCAUUUUGUAG
rnacentral:lncRNA from 1 species